rnacentral:rRNA from 1 species
AAGCGCUCAUGACCAGACUUGGGCCGGUUGAUCAUCCAUCGUUCUCGGUGGUGCACUCUGCCGGUUCAGGCCAGCAUCAGUUUAUCUCGGGGGACAAAGACGUCGGGAACGUGGCUCUUCCGGGAGUGUUAUAGCCCUUCGUGUAAUACCCUGAAGUAGACUGAGGUACGCGCUCCGCAAGGAUGCUGGCGUAAUGGUCAUCAGCGA